CAAGUGACAGGAUCAUAGCGUAGUGAGACAAGUGACAGGAUCAUAGCGUAUUGAGACAAGGUCACUUGUCUCACUACGCUAUGAUCCUGUCACUUGUC
rnacentral:pre_miRNA from 1 species